rnacentral:lncRNA from 1 species
GGAUAGAGAUUGCAGUGAAGCACUUUCCUAUCUCAUCCGCUAGGUUAAGAUCUACGAUGUUUCUUCAAGAACUGCUGUUCUUCCCUCAAUACUGCGAGAGGUUCCAAUUCGCUGUGCACGAACACGCAUCAGUGCCUUCACUCCAAACGGGUUGCCCUUGCUCUGCAUUAUCACGAGUUGGAAAGUAAACGCAUGACCAAUUAAGUAACAAGCUCAAUAUUUGAGAUUCAAUUUACUUCUUACCAGUGAACAGGUUCCUGAAGAUAUGUGACACACAGGGUACCUAUGAGGACAGCAACUGGCAUUGUCUUCACAACAUGUGGCACCCUCGAGAGGGCAGCAUCCCCAGAUAAAGCACGAGCCAAGUAAUUCCUCGAGACAGCAGCAAGUAUCGCUCUCGGGGCAUACAGAAAACUCAUCACAAAUAUUGUCAGGCUUGGAUGGAGAUGGAGGAGACGGACCUGGGUUUGGUGGAUUUUUGCUAGUCUUGAUUGGGUAAGAUGGCUCCAUGGCUAUUCCACAUAGACCGGAUUUGGCAGCCACAUUACGCUGCAUCCUGAUGUAGCCCUUUUCUCCCCAAUAUUCACCCCACGAGUUUCUAAUAAUCCAGUAAUCAAGACCAUCUUCGGUGCCAUAUCCGACAGCAUUCACACCAUGGUCUAAAGAAGUGCCACACUUUCCAGUGAAUAUGCCCUGGAGAGAUUUGAUCAAAAGAGAAUAUUUUUAAAAAAAACUAUGAUUAGUUGCAACUUGCAAGAAAAGAGAAAGUGAUAUACCGAUUCAUAUAACUGGAAGUCGAUCCCUGAACCUUCCAUAGAAAUGCUCACUGGUUGAUUUGCAACCGCCUUCUUUAGUGCCUUUUCGUUAUAUGGAGCUACGUCUUCAUAACUAUCAAUGGACACAAC